CCUACGGGAGGCAGCAGUGGGGAAUUUUGGACAAUGGGCGCAAGCCUGAUCCAGCCAUGCCGCGUGUGGGAAGAAGGCCUUCGGGUUGUAAACCACUUUUGUCAGGGAAGAAACGGUUUGUCCUAAUACGGCGGACUAAUGACGGUACCUGAAGAAUAAGCACCGGCUAACUACGUGCCAGCAGCCGCGGUAAUACGUAGGGUGCAAGCGUUAAUCGGAAUUACUGGGCGUAAAGCGUGCGCAGGCGGCUUUGCAAGACAGAUGUGAAAUCCCCGGGCUCAACCUGGGAACUGCAUUUGUGACUGCAUGGCUAGAGUACGGUAGAGGGGGAUGGAAUUCCGCGUGUAGCAGUGAAAUGCGUAGAUAUGCGGAGGAACACUGAUGGCGAAGGCAAUCCCCUGGACCUGUACUGACGCUCAUGCACGAAAGCGUGGGGAGCAAACAGGAUUAGAUACCCUGGUAGUCCACGCCCUAAACGAUGUCAACUGGUUGUUGGACGGCUUGCUGUUCAGUAACGAAGCUAACGCGUGAAGUUGACCGCCUGGGGAGUGCGGCCGCAAGGUUGAAACUCAAAGGAAUUGACGG
rnacentral:rRNA from 1 species